rnacentral:rRNA from 1 species
UACGUAGGUGGCAAGCGUUAUCCGGAAUUAUUGGGCGUAAAGCGCGCGCAGGCGGUUUCUUAAGUCUGAUGUGAAAGCCCACGGCUCAACCGUGGAGGGUCAUUGGAAACUGGGGAACUUGAGUGCAGAAGAGAAAAGCGGAAUUCCACGUGUAGCGGUGAAAUGCGUAGAGAUGUGGAGGAACACCAGUGGCGAAGGCAGCUCGCUGGGACGUUACUGACGCUGAGGCGCGAAAGCGUGGGGAGCGAACAGG